rnacentral:rRNA from 1 species
CUACCGGGGUAUCUAAUCCUGUUUGCUCCCCACGCUUUCGCACCUCAGUGUCAGUAUUAGCCCAGGUGGUCGCCUUCGCCACUGGUGUUCCUUCCUAUAUCUACGCAUUUCACCGCUACACAGGAAAUUCCACCACCCUCUGCCAUACUCUAGCUUGCCAGUUUUGGAUGCAGUUCCCAGGUUGAGCCCGGGGCUUUCACAUUCAACUUAACAAACCACCUACGCGCGCUUUACGCCCAGUAAUUCCGAUUAACGCUUGCACCCUUCGUAUUACCGCGGCUGCUGGCAC